rnacentral:rRNA from 1 species
CCUUACGGGCGGUGAGUGCAAUAUAAGUGAAGCAAACUCAAUUUUCUUUCAAAAAAGAUGACAAAAAGUGUUGACAAUCGUCCGGGGGUGUGGUAUUAUACUUGAGCGCCAAGCGCUGAGACAAAAGAAUGACUUCUGAAGUCCCAGCAGGAAGCCCCUGAAAAGAACCAAUAGACGCUGAAAAACACCAGUUGACACUGAGAUGUGCGAAGCGCUCCAAGUUCAGAAAAGUUCAAAAGCUUCUCAAAAAAGUGCUUGACAAAAAACCGCUUGUGUGGUAAAAUAAUCAAGUCGUCAGCCGCUAAGGCUGCGGCGCACAGGACCUUGAAAAUUGAACAAUAUCGAAAGAACUUGUAACGGAACCUAUUUUCGUGUUGGAAAAACACGGUAAACAAUUCCAAACAAAAGUAAUUCACACAGGAUGCAAGCGAUUGCGUGCUGAGCGAAAACAAGAUUUAACACUUUUAAGUGAUAAAUAUCAUUUAUAAAGAGUUUGAUCCUGGCUCAGGACGAACGCUGGCGGCGCGCCUAACACAUGCAAGUCGAACGAGCGAGAGAGAGCUUGCUUUCUCGAGCGAGUGGCGAACGGGUGAGUAACGCGUGAGGAACCUGCCUCAAAGAGGGGGACAACAGUUGGAAACGACUGCUAAUACCGCAUAAGCCCACAGCUCGGCAUCGAGCAGAGGGAAAGGGAGUGAUCCGCUUUGAGAUGGCCUCGCGUCCGAUUAGCUGGUUGGUGAGGUAACGGCCCACCAAGGCAACGAUCGGUAGCCGGACUGAGAGGUUGAACGGCCACAUUGGGACUGAGACACGGCCCAGACUCCUACGGGAGGCAGCAGUGGGGAAUAUUGCACAAUGGGGGAAACCCUGAUGCAGCGACGCCGCGUGGAGGAAGAAGGUCUUCGGAUUGUAAACUCCUGUUGUUGAGGAAGAUAAUGACGGUACUCAACAAGGAAGUGAUGGCUAACUACGUGCCAGCAGCCGCGGUAAAACGUAGGUCACAAGCGUUGUCCGGAAUUACUGGGUGUAAAGGGAGCGCAGGCGGGAAAGCAAGUUGGAAGUGAAAUCCAUGGGCUCAACCCAUGAACUGCUUUCAAAACUGUUUUUCUUGAGUAGUGCAGAGGUAGGCGGAAUUCCCGGUGUAGCGGUGGAAUGCGUAGAUAUCGGGAGGAACACCAGUGGCGAAGGCGGCCUACUGGGCACCAACUGACGCUGAGGCUCGAAAGUGUGGGUAGCAAACAGGAUUAGAUACCCUGGUAGUCCACACUGUAAACGAUGAUUACUAGGUGUUGGAGGAUUGACCCCUUCAGUGCCGCAGUUAACACAAUAAGUAAUCCACCUGGGGAGUACGACCGCAAGGUUGAAACUCAAAGGAAUUGACGGGGGCCCGCACAAGCAGUGGAGUAUGUGGUUUAAUUCGACGCAACGCGAAGAACCUUACCAAGUCUUGACAUCCUGCGACGGUGCUGGAAACAGUACUUUCCUUCGGGACGCAGAGACAGGUGGUGCAUGGUUGUCGUCAGCUCGUGUCGUGAGAUGUUGGGUUAAGUCCCGCAACGAGCGCAACCCUUAUGGUCAGUUACUACGCAAGAGGACUCUGGCCAGACUGCCGUUGACAAAACGGAGGAAGGUGGGGAUGACGUCAAAUCAUCAUGCCCUUUAUGACUUGGGCUACACACGUACUACAAUGGCGUUAAACAAAGAGAAGCGAGACCGCGAGGUGGAGCAAAACUCAGAAACAACGUCCCAGUUCGGACUGCGGGCUGCAACUCGCCUGCACGAAGUCGGAAUUGCUAGUAAUCGCAGAUCAGCAUGCUGCGGUGAAUACGUUCCCGGGCCUUGCACACACCGCCCGUA